rfam:Felis catus isolate Cinnamon breed Abyssinian chromosome B3, whole genome shotgun sequence.
GCCUGGGUGGCUCAGUCGGUUGAGUGCCCGACUUCGACUCAGGUCAUGAUCUCACAGUUUGUGAGUUCGAGCCUCGCCUCGGGCU